GCCCCUGUAGCGCAAUGGAUAGCGCGUUGGACUUCUAAUUCAAGGGUCGUGGGUUCAAAUCCCACCUGAGAAG
rnacentral:tRNA from 1 species